rnacentral:rRNA from 1 species
CCUACGGGAGGCUGCAGUCGAGAAUCAUUCACAAUGGGGGAAACCCUGAUGGUGCGACGCCGCGUGGGGGAAUGAAGGUCUUCGGAUUGUAAACCCCUGUCAUGUGGGAGCAAAUUAAAAAGAUAGUACCACAAGAGGAAGAGACGGCUAACUCUGUGCCAGCAGCCGCGGUAAUACAGAGGUCUCAAGCGUUGUUCGGAAUCACUGGGCGUAAAGCGUGCGUAGGCUGUUUCGUAAGUCGUGUGUGAAGGUGGCGGGCUCAACCCGCGGACGGCACAUGAUACUGCGAGACUAGAGUAAUGGAGGGGGAACCGGAAUUCUCGGUGUAGCAGUGAAAUGCGUAGAUAUCGAGAGGAACACUCGUGGCGAAGGCGGGUUCCUGGACAUUAACUGACGCUGAGGCACGAAGGCCAGGGGAGCGAAAGGGAUUAGAUACCCUAGUAGUC